rnacentral:misc_RNA from 1 species
AACGCACAUUGCGCCCUUUGGUAUUCCGAAGGGCAUGCCUGUUCGAGCGUCAUUAUCACCCCUCAAGCCCUGUGCUUGGUGUUGGACGGUUGGUCGAGCGAUCGACCCCUCCUAAAGACAAUGACGGCGGCCUGUGGUUCCCCCGGUACACUGAGCUUUUAACUGAGCACGUAUCGGACAAGGGCACGCGGGACCCGGUCCUCUCCUUUAGCUAGGAAACUUCUAAGGUUGACCUCGGAUCAGGUAGGAAUACGCGCUGAACUUAA